UGGGGGAUAUUGCACAAUGGGCGAAAGCCUGAUGCAGCGACGCCGCGUGGGGGAUGAAGGCCUUCGGGUUGUAAACUUCUUUUGCUCUGAACAAGGCAUGCUAAUGGGUGUGUUGAGUGUAGGGGUUGAUUAGUGCCGGCUAACUACGUGCCAGCAGCCGCGGUAAUACGUAGGGCGCGAGCGUUGUCCGGAAUUAUUGGGCGUAAAGGGCUUGUAGGUGGCUGGUUGCGUCUGUCGUGAAAGCUCAUGGCUUAACUGUGGGUUUGCGGUGGGUACGGGCUGGCUUGAGUGCAGUAGGGGAGGCUGGAAUUCCUGGUGUAGCGGUGGAAUGCGCAGAUAUCAGGAGGAAUACCGGUGGCGAAGGCGGGUCUCUGGGCUGUUACUGACACUGAGGAGCGAAAGCAUGGGGAGCGAACAGG
rnacentral:rRNA from 1 species